rfam:Myotis davidii contig39382, whole genome shotgun sequence.
GGUGGUUCUUGGGUGACCCACCCCGAAAUCAGGUGCCCUCCUCUCUGGUUCUGGAUGCAUCACCUGAGAACUGCU